rnacentral:rRNA from 1 species
UACAGAGGGUGCGAGCGUUGUCCGGAAUCACUGGGCGUAAAGGGCGCGUAGGUGGUGGCUUAAGCGUGCGGUGAAAGCCCGGGGCUCAACUCCGGAAUUGCCUUUAAGACUGCAUCGCUAGAAUUGUGGAGAGGUAAGUGGAAUUCCGAGUGUAGAGGUGAAAUUCGUAGAUAUUCGGAAGAACACCAGUGGCGAAGGCGACUUACUGGACACAUAUUGACGCUGAGGUGCGAAAGCGUGGGGAGCAAACAGG